UACAGAGGGUGCAAGCGUUAAUCGGAAUUACUGGGCGCAAAGCGUGCGUAGACGGUUACAUAAGUCGGGUGUGAAAGCCCCGGGCUCAACCUGGGAAUUGCAUUCGAGACUGCGUAGCUAGGGUGCGGAAGAGGGAAGCGGAAUUCCUGGUGUAGCGGUGAAAUGCGCAGAUAUCAGGAGGAACACCAAUGGCGAAGGCAGCUCGCUGGAACGGUACUGACGCUGAGGCGCGAAAGCGUGGGGAGCGAACAGG
rnacentral:rRNA from 1 species